rnacentral:rRNA from 1 species
UACGUAGGUGGCAAGCGUUGUCCGGAAUUACUGGGUGUAAAGGGAGCGUAGGCGGGUUGUCAAGUUGGGUGUGAAAUGCAUAGGCUUAACCUAUGAGCUGCAUCCAAAACUGGCAGUCUUGAGUGAUGUAGAGGCAGGCGGAAUUCCUAGUGUAGCGGUGAAAUGCGUAGAUAUUAGGAGGAACACCAGUGGCGAAGGCGGCCUGCUGGGCAUUAACUGACGCUGAGGCUCGAAAGCGUGGGGAGCAAACAGG